AUUGAACGCUGGCGGCAGGCCUAACACAUGCAAGUCGAGCGGAUCGGCGGACGGGUGAGUAAUGCCUAGGAAUCUGCCUGUUAGUGGUGGAUAACGUCCGGAACCGGGCGCUAAUACCUCAUCCUAUCAGAUGCGCCUAGGUCGGAUUAGCUAGUUGGUGGGGUAAAGGCCUACAACGGCGAGGAGACGUACAUGGUCUGAGAGGAUGAUCAUUCACAAUGGAACUGAGAAACGGUCCAGACUCCUACGGGAGGCAGCAGUGGGGAAUAUUGGACAAUGGGCGAAAGCCUGAUCCAGCCAUGCCGCGUGUGUGAAGAAGGUCUUCGGAUUGUAAAGCACGUUAAGUUGGGAGGCGUUACCAACAGAAUAAGCACCGGCUAACUUCGUGCCAGCAGCCGCGGUAAUUC
rnacentral:rRNA from 1 species